rnacentral:lncRNA from 1 species
UUGAAGCUGUCUCAAUAGUUCAUUGUCUUUAUCAUCAAAUGCAUAGUAAAAAAAUACAAAGGGAGAGAUAGACAAAUAUAAAAUAGUAGUAGUUUGAAGCAAAGUAAAAUGCAAUGGGGACGGGAGUGGUAGAGUGUGACGCCAGACUCGCCAGUUAUGUAUGGGGAAUUCAGCUUGGUGUGAAUUUUUCUGAGGAUUAUUUAGUUGGCAUCAACGAACAAAAAAGUCCUGAAAAAAAAUUAUUGAUUAUUACCCACAAGGUUAGAAGUUCCUUAAACUUCAAGAGUACGACAUAUUGGGAUUUACUAGAGUAAUAUCUCAUUCACCACAAUGUGAAAAAGUUAAAAACUUAAAAUACAGAACAAUGUAUUAUUGAUUUGAAAAAUCACUACAAUGACAUUCUUCGUAGUAAUUUUAUCUUGUCAUAUGGCCCAUUAAGUGUUACGUUUGACCAAUUGAGAAAUGUAGCCCCACUUAAUGGGAGCGCUACACUACUAGGUUGUUCUCCCCAAUGUCUUAAAUAUCGAUAAUAUCGCCGAUAUUUCGCCGAUAUUAUCAUAUUUUUUAGAGUACGAUAUUUCUACACCUAUCCACGUGAUUAUCAUCCAAAUAUCACGAUAUUAGAUAAUAUCGCCGAAGCUCCGUCGCCGAGGUCACGGUGGGAUGUGGGUGUGGUGUGUCUGUGCUCCGGGAAGGAGAGUUGCAGCAAUUUUCACAACGAAUCUGAGGGAAGAGAAAGUGCGAAGAGAGAUAGAUAGAGAGAUUAUCGGCGAAUUUCUGCAACUCUUCUCUGUGAAGAUGAGGGAAGAGAGUGUGAAAAGAGAGAGAGAGAGAGAGAGAGAGAGAGAGAGAGAGAGAGAGAGAGAGAGAAUUAAACAUUUCAAUAUGUGGUAUGUUCUGAAGCUCGUCUAUGAAGAGGAGAGGAGAAGAGUGCGAAGAGAGAGAGAGACUGAAAGUCUGAAACAUUUCAAUAUGUGAGGGCGAGGAGUCUGAGGACUGGGAUCUCAAAUAAGGGAAAAGCUGAUGGUUUUAAUUGUCAAAACCAUGGGCGCUGAUGGUUUUG